GCGCCCGUAGCUCAAUUGGAUAGAGCAUCUCGUUGCGGACGAGAAGGUUGUGAGUUCGAGUCUCACUGGGCGCACUA
rnacentral:tRNA from 1 species